rnacentral:lncRNA from 1 species
UUAAUUUUAGCCCAAACCAAAUCUGACUUUGGGCCCAAUUGGCCCCUAACCAGGAUAUAGGAUUAUCUCUUAAUCCUAAUCCUAAUUACAAGUGAACUACAUAACACAAAAACAUCCUAAGCAAAUUUUCAACCGCGAACGUCGAGUCUUGUUCCGGCGAGCUUUCCGACGAACUUCUUCCGACGGACUCCCUGCAAGCACCCAAUCUUUGUGAUGACUUUAACGAGUAGCCGAGCCUUCUCGGUGAUCUCCGCGAGCCUCCGACGAUUUCUUCAACGAACUUCCGACACGUUCCCGAUUUCUUCUCGGAUGGUUCCGGCAGCAUCUCCGAUGAUUCUUCGGUCUCUUAAACGUCCAUCGAGCUCGACUCCGGUAUCCUUGCUUUAUGUUUGCUGGUUAUCGUAGUUAAUCCUGCACACUUAACUCAAUAAUAUGGAUUAGAUCAAUUAACCCACCAAUUG